CAGUUCAGACUUUCAAAUAUGCAUCUCAGGCAAGGCUUCUAUGGAUAUUUGAAGGGAAGGAUUUAAAGAUCAUCUUCAAGAUAAAGUUAUAUCCAAACUACAAAUUCUCAGAAAUCUCAACAGAGAAUUGGAAUUAGUCUUCACCAUGAGAUGAUGCACUUAUUAGAAGGCAGUCGCUGUUUGAUCAAUCACUUUCAGGCCCCAGUCCUACCCACACACACUGCAACAGAAAGAGAAAAGAAAAGCUUAUGGUUCAUCUGCAUUCAAGCAAGCACAUGUACUGGUCAAAUUGAAGCUUUCUUUAGGCCCUACUUGCAUUAGAGAAUCCAUCAACAACCACACUUGAUGAUCCUCUUUUCCACCAAAGAAAGAAGAAAGAGAUGAAAAAGAAGUGAGUAAUGAACCUUUUUUUUUUUUU